AUUGAACGCUGGCGGCAGGCCUAACACAUGCAAGUCGAGCGGUAACAGAGAGUAGCUUGCUACUCUGCUGACGAGCGGCGGACGGGUGAGUAAUGCUUGGGAAUAUGCCUUAUGGUGGGGGACGACAGUUGGAAACGACUGCUAAUACCGCAUGAUGUCUACGGACCAAAGUGGGGGACCUUCGGGCCUCACGCCAUAAGAUUAGCCCAAGUGGGAUUAGCUAGUUGGUGAGGUAAUGGCUCACCAAGGCGACGAUCCCUAGCUGGUUUGAGAGGAUGAUCAGCCACACUGGGACUGAGACACGGCCCAGACUCCUACGGGAGGCAGCAGUGGGGAAUAUUGCACAAUGGGCGCAAGCCUGAUGCAGCCAUGCCGCGUGUGUGAAGAAGGCCUUCGGGUUGUAAAGCACUUUCAGUAAGGAGGAAAGGUUAAGUGUUAAUAGCACUUAGCUGUGACGUUACUUACAGAAGAAGCACCGGCUAACUCCGUGCCAGCAGCCGCGGUAAUACGGAGGGUGCGAGCGUUAAUCGGAAUUACUGGGCGUAAAGCGUACGCAGGCGGUUUGUUAAGCGAGAUGUGAAAGCCCCGGGCUCAACCUGGGAACUGCAUUUCGAACUGGCAAACUAGAGUGUGAUAGAGGGUGGUAGAAUUUCAGGUGUAGCGGUGAAAUGCGUAGAGAUCUGAAGGAAUACCGAUGGCGAAGGCAGCCACCUGGGUCAACACUGACGCUCAUGUACGAAAGCGUGGGGAGCAAACG
rnacentral:rRNA from 1 species